rnacentral:rRNA from 1 species
UACGUAGGGUGCGAGCGUUAAUCGGAAUUACCGGGCGUAAAGCGUGCGCAGGCGGUUUUGUAAGCCAGAUGUGAAAUCCCCGGGCUUAACCUGGGAAUGGCAUUUGGGACUGCAAGGCUGGAGUUUGGCAGAGGAGACUGGAAUUCCUGGUGUAGCAGUGAAAUGCGUAGAUAUCAGGAGGAAUACCGAUGGCGAAGGCAGGUCUCUGGGCUAUAACUGACGCUCAUGCACGAAAGCGUGGGGAGCAAACAGG